AUUUGAUAUCAAGUGAUCAGUGCCCCUUUGUCUCCCAACAAAAUCAAUCAUCUCCAUUGUUUCAAAAUGAGAGUCCAUUGGUUCCCAAGAGUACAAGGUCACCUCCAUUGGCUUUUCAUAACAAUCUUCACACAGAGGCCAAUAUUCCUCCUCUUGGUGGAGCUCAACGGCCUUCGCUCCCUCCUCAUAUGCGGGGAAACUCAACCCAAUCGUUUCAAAACCUUCCGAUCCGUUUACCUCACCAAAGGCUGCCCUCGAUUCCAACAAAUUAUGACCCUGGAAGACAGAUCGCAGUGAAGCAUGCAGAUCAAGUCUCAAAAAGAACAAGGUCCCCCCCUCAUUCACCUCCUAACGUGGCUUCUUUUGAGAAAUCAGCUCUUGGUCUACGUGAA
rnacentral:misc_RNA from 1 species